rnacentral:rRNA from 1 species
AGCGAACGCUGGCGGCAGGCCUAACACAUGCAAGUCGAACGGAUCCUUCGGGAUUAGUGGCGGACGGGUGAGUAACACGUGGGAACGUGCCCUUUGGUUCGGAACAACUCAGGGAAACUUGAGCUAAUACCGGAUGUGCCCUUCGGGGGAAAGAUUUAUCGCCAUUGGAGCGGCCCGCGUCUGAUUAGCUAGUUGGUGAGGUAACGGCCCACCAAGGCGACGAUCAGUAUCUGGUCUGAGAGGAUGAUCAGCCACACUGGGACUGAGACACGGCCCAGACUCCUACGGGAGGCAGCAGUGGGGAAUCUUGCGCAAUGGGCGAAAGCCUGACGCAGCCAUGCCGCGUGAAUGAUGAAGGUCUUAGGAUUGUAAAAUUCUUUCAGCGGGGACGAUAAUGACGGUACCCGCAGAAGAAGCUCCGGCUAACUUCGUG